rnacentral:rRNA from 1 species
AACGAACGCUGGCGGCAGGCCUAACACAUGCAAGUCGAACGCCGUAGCAAUACGGAGUGGCAGACGGGUGAGUAACACGUGGGAACAUACCCUUCGGUUCGGAAUAACUCAGGGAAACUUGAGCUAAUACCGGAUACGUCCGCGAGGAGAAAGAUUCAUCGCCGGAGGAUUGGCCCGCGUCUGAUUAGCUUGUUGGUGAGGUAACGGCUCACCAAGGCGACGAUCAGUAGCUGGUCUGAGAGGAUGAUCAGCCACAUUGGGACUGAGACACGGCCCAAACUCCUACGGGAGGCAGCAGUGGGGAAUAUUGGACAAUGGGCGCAAGCCUGAUCCAGCCAUGCCGCGUGGAUGAUGAAGGCCCUAGGGUUGUAAAGUCCUUUUAACGGGGAAGAUAAUGACGGUACCCGUAGAAUAAGCCCCGGCUAACUUCGUGCCAGCCGCCGCAGU